rnacentral:rRNA from 1 species
GACGAACGCUGGCGGCGUGCCUAAUACAUGCAAGUCGAACGAGAGCGACCGGUGCUUGCACUGGUCAAUCUAGUGGCGAACGGGUGAGUAACACGUGGGUAACCUGCCCAUCAGAGGGGGAUAACAUUCGGAAACGGAUGCUAAAACCGCAUAGGUCUUCGAACCGCAUGGUUUGAAGAGGAAAAGAGGCGCAAGCUUCUGCUGAUGGAUGGACCCGCGGUGCAUUAGCUAGUUGGUGAGGUAACGGCUCACCAAGGCCGUGAUGCAUAGCCGACCUGAGAGGGUGAUCGGCCACAUUGGGACUGAGAAACGGCCCAAACUCCUACGGGAGGCAGCAGUAGGGAAUCUUCCGCAAUGGACGCAAGUCUGACGGAGCAACGCCGCGUGAGUGAAGAAGGUUUUCGGAUCGUAAAACUCUGUUGUUAGAGAAGAAUAAGUGCUAGAGUAACUGUUAGCGCCUUGACGGUAUCUAACCAGAAAGCCACGGCUAACUACGUG